rnacentral:lncRNA from 10 species
AAAAUAAACUUUAAUUUUAAAUUCGGAAAAAAGAAAUGCCGUAGAGAAUCAGUUUUCAUUCAAAUAAAUUUCCACUUAUUUUUAACCCCUGGGAGCCCUCUAGUGUCCUGUUCGCAAACAGACUCAGAAAUGUCAGUCUCAUGAAGUUCAAAAGAUCGAGAAUGUUUGCUAUCUUGGUGGAGCAGCCGCAGCCAAGCAAGUAACUUGUAAAAUGAGGAAUGCCAUCACCCCUCGAGUGUCCAUCCCACAUAACUUGGGGUUAGAGCACAAGCGUUCCCAGGAACUACUCACCUUACCAUCUUGGCCGUUUCAUUUGUCUUCCACCAGUUCUGGAAAGAGAAGGCCUAGAAGUUCAGAAAAAAAGGAAAAGUGCUUUUGGAGAAAAUCACCUGUCUCCUCAGAACUGGUCUUACAAGUCUGUGAAGUAACACUAUGUGCCAGCCUAAUCACUCAUAUAUGACCUCAAGAGAACACCAAAUAAGCAUAUUUCCAGCAGGAAAUGACCAGUGCUUUGGUUAAGAAUGCACAUUAUACUGCAGUUCUUUGGGGAAUGAAGCCACCCUUGACUGAGGUAAUCAUCAGUUCAAAGGCAACUCCUUGUUUUAUCUUUGCACUAAUUGCUUAGAGAAAUAACCAGACAAUAUAAUUUAUGACAACAAAUCUGCAUUUAACUGAGUUAACGAAUUUGUAAACAAAAAGAUUCCUAUCUCAGGUAGGUGCUUUUGGCAAGAUAUUUAAUUUUGCCCAGUUUCCUCAUCUGAA